rnacentral:lncRNA from 1 species
AAUGUGCUUACUUCAGCUUCUAUUUUUAUUAUUUUUAGAGAAGAAAAUUGUAGUUGAAUUAUCACAAAAGAUUUUCAAUGGCCUUACAAUAGAAUCAACAAUCUUUAGGCCAGGUAUAAAAUUCUUCAACCAUAAUGCCUAUGAUGUAGCUUCAUAACAUGCAAUGAAUUUUAUGUAAUAUCUCAAAUCUAAUUCAGGCCCAGCCAUCUGGAAUAAAGCCCAAAAAAAGGCCUGCGCAUGACUUUAAAAAAAAAAGAAGAGAACGGAAGGAAAAAGACUCCCGAUGGGAGUCUUCUUCUUCGAUGGUUGUCAAAUUGGAGCCAAGUUAGGGCUCCUCUAUAAGAUGAGAUGCCCCUCCCUUCCACGACCAUCCAUUGUUGAGACCCCUCUCUCCCUCAUGUCUUUCUACCUCUAUCUUUCCUUUCUUAUUUUUGAAUGACCUUCUUCGUGCCGGAUGAAAUCACCACCAAAUUUCAUCAAAGAUGAGGUAAAUCUCUUAAGAAAACUUCUCUUCGAUCCCUUUCAAAUUAUAGACCGAGGUUUUCAUGGUUUGAUUUUUGAUUUUUCUUGGGAGAAGUCAGAUCUCAUAAAAUCUUAUUUUUGGUCAUCUGUGUUGCUCGAUUUUCAGCAUCGUGUAUCGCCGUUAAGCACCGAAUUGGGGACCAUACCAUCGUAGGUCGCAUUUUCGUCCACCAUCUUUUCGGUGCAACAACCCCUUGUUUCAAAGAAAAAAGUGAUGUCAAAGAAUCCCCUAUUUUUGCUUUGAUUCGUGCUUGUUUUCUUGAUUAUUCUGGUGGCAGUCAUCACUGCCGACCAUCGACUAUGAUCCCCCGCUUGUGCCACCACCCAUAGCAAGCCAGUCGUCGGUCUUGCCUAUAGUCACCAUCGGGCUAUAAGCCCCUAUCUGUUUCAAAAAUACAAGAGAAAGUAAACCCCUAUUUCACCUAAUACAUGAGGAAGAAGAAAAGCAAAGAAAAAAAAAGAAAAAAAGAAGAAGAA